GAUGAACGCUGGCGGCGUGCCUAAUACAUGCAAGUCGAGCGAACAGACGAGGAGCUUGCUCCUCUGACGUUAGCGGCGGACGGGUGAGUAACACGUGGAUAACCUACCUAUAAGACUGGGAUAACUUCGGGAAACCGGAGCUAAUACCGGAUAAUAUAUUGAACCGCAUGGUUCAAUAGUGAAAGACGGUUUUGCUGUAACUUAUAGAUGGAUCCGCGCCGCAUUAGCUAGUUGGUAAGGUAACGGCUUACCAAGGCGACGAUGCGUAGCCGACCUGAGAGGGUGAUCGGCCACACUGGAACUGAGACACGGUCCAGACUCCUACGGGAGGCAGCAGUAGGGAAUCUUCCGCAAUGGGCGAAAGCCUGACGGAGCAACGCCGCGUGAGUGAUGAAGGUCUGCGGAUCGUAAAACUCUGUUAUUAGGGAAGAACAAAUGUGUAAGUAACUAUGCACGUCUGGACGGUACCUAAUCAGAAAGCCACGGCUAACUACGG
rnacentral:rRNA from 1 species